rnacentral:rRNA from 1 species
UACGGAGGGUGCAAGCGUUAUCCGGAUUCACUGGGUUUAAAGGGUGCGUAGGCGGAUAGGGAAGUCCGUGGUGAAAUCCUGCAGCUUAACUGCAGAACUGCCGUGGAUACUCUCUAUCUUGAAUAUCGUGGAGGUUAGCGGAAUAUGUCAUGUAGCGGUGAAAUGCUUAGAUAUGACAUAGAACACCCAUUGCGAAGGCAGCUAACUACGCGAUCACUGACGCUGAGGCGCGAAAGCUAGGGGAGCAAACGGG